rnacentral:lncRNA from 1 species
UGUGUAUGGUUCUUGUAACAAUAUCGCAAAGGUGAAGAACAGAACAAAAAAUAAAGUGCUAAAAAAUGGCGUCCGAUUAAGAAUUGUGUGGGUGAGUUUUAUUGUGAUGUGAAUAUGGUCCUCCCCAUGAAGAUGAUGAUGUGUGUGUAUAUAUCAAUUAGGGAAUUCCCUGUGGGCCCCCUUGAAAAAAUGGAAUUCUGUUUUUUGUCCCCC